GACGAACGCUGGCGGCGUGCCUAAUACAUGCAAGUUGAGCGCUGAAGGUUGGUACUUGUACCAACUGGAUGAGCAGCGAACGGGUGAGUAACGCGUGGGGAAUCUGCCUUUGAGCGGGGGACAACAUUUGGAAACGAAUGCUAAUACCGCAUAAAAACUUUAAACACAAGUUUUAAGUUUGAAAGAUGCAAUUGCAUCACUCAAAGAUGAUCCCGCGUUGUAUUAGCUAGUGGGUGAGGUAAAGGCUCAACAAGGCGAUGAUACAUAGCCGACCUGAGAGGGUGGUCGGCCACAUUGGGACUGAGACCCGGCCCAAACUCCUACGGGAGGCAGCAGUAGGGAAACUUCGGACAUGGACGAAAGUCUGACCGAGCAACGCCGCGUGAGUGAAGAAGGGUUUCGGAUCGUAAAACUCUGUUGGUAGAGAAGAACGUUGGUGAGAGUGGAAAGCUCAUCAAGUGACGGUAACUACACAGAAAGGGACGGCUAACUACGUG
rnacentral:rRNA from 1 species